CUCCCCUCCCUUCACCCAAAUUCUAAUUUUAAUCAUCCUAAUUACUAACAUCAUAAUCAUCCCACCCACUCCCCUCCCUUUUAACUUAACAGUAAAAAUCUUUCCCCUACCCCAAUUGAAAGGCGUUCAGAAAGGAAAUCCCCUCACAGCCGGCGGUCCGCUUGUCUUGGUUGCGGUCGUCCAGCCUGACGUUCGCCGCAGCAGCCAUCCUCCGGAGCGACUCCAUUGUGUAGACGAGCAACGGCAGUCGUAGCCCCGUCCUUGUCGCGUGGACCUCGUCCAGUCGCAACCCGCGUCGUCUUCUAAUGGCUAGCUCCCAAGCUUGAAGUCCCGGCCUGUUCGCGGCGCCUGUGGUCUUCCGGCGAAAAAUCAGGGCAACCGUCGUCUCUACAUGUUCGCCCGCAUCGAAGGUAACUCCAUGACUAGCUCUUUCUUGAUGGGUUAGAUGUUCAUAUUAUUUUUUACUUCAAGUAUGAUUUGUUUAUGCAAUUUAAAAGGGAUGGUUACUUCACUAUAUGAAUGGAUGGUUGAAAUUUUUACGAAAAAAUGUGAAAUUUAUUUGAGACUUGGGACCUAAUUUCUGACUUCUGUUAAGUAAUCAGUUUUGAAUAAGAUAUAUUAAGAUCAGGUGAUCAUUCUGGAUACAGAAUUAAUUAAUAUUAAUCUAUGAUAAAAUAAAUGUUAAUUGUUUAAUUUUUCGAGUUCAAAAUAGAUUUCAAUAAAAUGUCAAAGGGAAUUUUUUAAUUUUAUUUUAGUUAUAAAAUCGGUUUGAGUUGAUUAUUAAUAUUUUGCCGUCCUAAUUUUAUGUAUUUGUAUUUCAUUUGAGUUAAUUUGAAAUGAUAUCUGUUACGGAUAUUUGGAUUUGUAAGAUACUUUCAUACAAUUCUGAAAUGAACUUUUGUGUUGAAGUAACUAUGGAAGACAAGUUAUGAUGGAGGAAAAAAUUUUGGGUCUAUGGUUCUAGAAUUUGAUAGGCAAUUAUUCGCUUGUGUUCUUCUAAUGUUACAAAACCUGUCCAUAUAUAAAAUUUUUGAACUGGUUUAGGGUUAUUUGAUACUUUUUUAAUAACAGUUAAUAGUGUAAUAUACAUUUUCUACACAUGAUUACUAUUUUAUUUUGUUACUUGGUUGACCAUGGAUGUUUUAUUUUGAAUAAGAUAUAUUUAGAUUAGAUGAUCAUUUUGAAUACAAAAUUAACAUUAAUCCAUGAUAAAGUAAAUGUUAGUUGCCAAUGAGUUAUAGCUCAAAUGGCAUAGAUUCCUCAUACUCAAUUAAGAGGUUGCGGGUUCGAGUCGCAUAUCUUUUCAAAUUUUGCCAAAAAGUAAAUGUUAGUUAUUUAAUUUUUUGUGUUUGGAAUAUAUUUUAAGAAGAUGACAAGGGGUCAUUUUUAAUUUUAUUUUAGGUAUGAAAUCGGUUUGAGUUGAUUAACAAUAUUUCAGCCGUCUUAAUUUUUUUGUAUUUGUAUUUCGUUUGAGUUAAUUUGAAAUGAUAUUUGUUAGGGAUGUUUGGUUUUGUAAGAUACUUUUAUGCAAUUCUGAGACGGACUUUUGUAUUGAAGUAACUCGUGACGUAUUACUUCGGUUCUGAAUUUUAUGGAAGACUAAUUAUGAUGGCAAAAAAAAUUAGGUGUAUAUGAUUCUGAAAUUCGGUUUGUCUCGUUCGUUUGUGUUUUUUCAUCACCCUCACAAUGAAAAUACCAUACAGAUAUGCUUCGAGCAAUGAGAAUGGAGAUUAUGGAGGAUAUUAUCAUGGGAGCACACAAUGGAUCCAUUGAACAGGUGCGAACUUUGUUGGACCGAAAUGAAGAACGUGUAUACCACAACCAUCUAAGAAACAAGAAAAAGGAGGUUAAAUCACCUUUCACAGUACCAAGCACUAGGACAUUAAUGAACUUGUGAGGAAGAACCGGAAUCAGAGAAAGCACUAGAUGUACCUAAAACCCGUUUGGGAAGUAGCAGAAGCUAUUUUUUUUUUUACUUUUAAAUUAUGAAAAGUCACAAUAAAAAAACUAAAAAACAGCAACAAAAUAUACAUUAACACACAUUUCAUAUUCAUUUUUUAUUUUCACCUACCAUAUCAUGCACAAUAAAACAACAAAUACUAAC
rnacentral:lncRNA from 1 species